rnacentral:rRNA from 1 species
UACGUAGGGGGCAAGCGUUGUCCGGAUUCAUUGGGCGUAAAGAGCGUGUAGGCGGCCAGGUAGGUCUGCUGUGAAAACUCGAGGCUCAACCUCGAGACGUCGGCGGAAACCAUCUGGCUAGAGUCCGGAAGAGGAGAGUGGAAUUCCUGGUGUAGCGGUGAAAUGCGCAGAUAUCAGGAAGAACACCCGUGGCGAAGGCGGCUCUCUAGUACGGUACUGACGCUGAGACGCGAAAGCGUGGGGAGCGAACAGG